AUAAUAGGGUUGUCAGGGAAUUAUUCAUGACAGAUUUACUGUUGUAAAAUAUUUUAUUAGAUAGUUACAGUUGAGUUACUUGAAUAAAACUGACUUGAUAUAUUCCAGAUAAAAAUUUCAUAGUACUCACUCAUAAAUGACUAACCAUCUCUGAGAAAGUAAUAAAAAUGUUGAUAAUUAUUUCAUCACUCUUAAAAAAUGACAACUUAUUCCUGUUAUUUCCUAUUCAAGUAAUUAUUUCUUCAAGAAUUUGGUAUUAUUUACAAAAUAGACACUUGUAACAGUUGAUACAAUUUGGCAAUUAUGGUCAAACUCAUCACAAGUAGAUGAAUAGUCCUCCAGUUAAUACCUUAACAAACAACAAAAGACUAAAACAAUAGCCCAUUUUUUUGUUUUCCCAUGGGACCUUAACCGUAAAAACUUUAAAAACUUAUCGAGAAGCUUUCUAUAUAAAUAUUUGCACGUUCAAACAUACAUUAUUAACCAAUUUUUACAUUUCAUAAGUUUUAAAACAUUUCACGUACAAUUCUGAAUCAGCACAGAAUAAGCAGAAUUUCCAAAUUCCUAGUUCCAAAAUAAGGUAUUUUAUCAUAAUAUUUCUAACGUGGUCUUCUUGGAAGACAUCACAUUGAAAUUAGUUCCAAUUUUUAUUUUCAGAAAAUACAAAUUUGGAAGUCUUGAAGAAAGUGAUUUUUACUGUAACAAAAUUUUAGAUCUGAUAAAAGCCCUUACCCCCUAGAAAAGCUUGCUGUGCAAAACUUUCAGUUAUCUCAGAGUAGCUCAUUAUGACGUACUCAUAGCAAAAAGCUUGCACUCAAACUCAGCUAUUUUCAAACUGAGAACGUUUCAAAUUAAAUUGAAAGAGUGCAGAAAAAUUCAAGCUAUACUCAAGGGAGCUAAAAGUCAUCCAGAACCAAUAAUUAAAGCUUUUAAGGAAGCACAUUUAGGAGGAAGAAACCUACUCCGCUGACUUUCACUUUAAUCAUCCUCUCAAACAACCUAGGAUGAUUUUACAGUUUCCACGCUACCUUUUAAGGCCAGGCUGGAUGAGGCUUUCAGCACCCUGGUCUGGUGGGAGGUGUCCCCGCCCAUGGCAGGGAGGCUGGAACCAGGUGAUUUUUAAGGUCCCUUCCAACCCAAGCCAUUCUGUGCCACCUUCUUAUAAAGUAGUGAAGGAUUUCAUGAAGGAUCUAACAUGGCAAGUCACUAACGUUGUGAAAGACUGUUGUCAGUGCACAACUUAAAAUGUGUAUGAUUCACGGCUAUUCCUGGGUUUCGAAAUUUUAAUACAGAAAUACCGAAAGGUCAAACACAACUCCUAAUUACAGCUGGCGUCCUAGUGAGAGACUCCCUUUGCUUAUCCCAUCUAUAUGCUGGAACAGGCAGUACUACUACCACUGUCAGUUUGAGGGCAGGAAUAUCCCUUUCCCAGUUCCAAGCCUAAAAAAAAAAACCUACGAUCAAUACGUACUUCUCCACCUCUACAAUCAAUACGUACUUCUCCACCUAGGAUGACUUUCCCUUUAAUAACAGGGAUUACAGAAUGGUAACUGAUUUGCUCUGAACACACUGAUCUUUUAGCAAGUAUGAAUGUGUUAUUUGUACUGUCUAGAACAUAAAACAGCUUUCACGAACAGAGUUGCCUCUAUUUUAGACUGACCCUUCCCAAGAAAGGAUUUCACUCAUCGUAUGUAUUGUUGGAGAGGGUUUUCUACCAAAAUCAAUGAAAGUUCUUAAAAAGAGGCUGUUGAAGGAAAAAAGAAGUGAUUGGAAAUACCCUGCAAGUUUUAAUUUCUUUCCCUUACAGAUCUGCUGUAGGACAUAGCUGCACUGAUAAUCCAUGAUUCAUGGUAUUACAAUAAUGCCUGAUGGCCUCAAUCAGGAAUUGCUAUUCAACUUACUGUACAUCAUGGCGCAUGAACCAGAACUGCAUUUUUCAACUGCUAGCAAACAGGGCUAGACCCACACCUAUGGUUAAUUCUGUGGCAAAUUGAAGAAGCCAAGAAACUGGGCCCACAAAAAGCGUCACAAGCUUCAAUUACAAGUUAAAUUCACUACAGUAAGAAAAGGAAACAAGAACUGUUUUGUAAUGAAAUAAGUUCAAACAAAAUCUCACCCGUAAUCACACACAAAUGCUAAUACCACCGUUACAGGAGUUUUCAUUACAUAAAGAAAUAAAUGAUACCAAAA